UACAUGGGGUGCAAACGUUUGCUCGGAAUUAUUGGGCGUAAAGCGCACGUAGGCGGUUCGUUAAGUCGGAUGUGAAAGCCCCCGGGCUUAACCGUGGGAAUGGCCGUUGAAACCUGGCGAACUGGAGUGUGGCAGGAGGGGGGUGGAAUUCCGCGUGUAGCAGUGAAAUGCGUAGAGAUGCGGAGGAACACCGAUGGCGAAGGCAGCCCCCCUGGGCUGACACGUGACGCCUCGAGGCACGAAAGCGUGGGGAGCAAACAGG
rnacentral:rRNA from 1 species